rnacentral:rRNA from 1 species
CAGCCGCCACGGGAAUACAGAGGGUGCGAGCGUUAAUCGGAUUUACUGGGCGUAAAGCGUGCGUAGGCGGCUUUUUAAGUCGGAUGUGAAAUCCCUGAGCUUAACUUAGGAAUUGCAUUCGAUACUGGGAAGCUAGAGUAUGGGAGAGGAUGGUAGAAUUCCAGGUGUAGCGGUGAAAUGCGUAGAGAUCUGGAGGAAUACCGAUGGCGAAGGCAGCCAUCUGGCCUAAUACUGACGCUGAGGUACGAAAGCAUGGGGAGCAAACAGGAUUAGAUACCCCUGUAGUUCCUGUCUCUUAUAA